GACGAACGCUGGCGGCGUGCCUAAUACAUGCAAGUCGAGCGGACUGAUUAAGAGCUUGCUCUUAUGACGUUAGCGGCGGACGGGUGAGUAACACGUGGGCAACCUGCCCUGUAGAUCGGGAUAACACCGAGAAAUCGGUGCUAAUACCGGGUAAUAUCUGAGAUCACACGAUCUUAGGUUAAAAGAUGGCUCCGGCUAUCACUACAGGAUGGGCCCGCGGCGCAUUAGCUAGUUGGUAAGGUAAUGGCUUACCAAGGCGACGAUGCGUAGCCGACCUGAGAGGGUGAUCGGCCACACUGGGACUGAGACACGGCCCAGACUCCUACGGGAGGCAGCAGUAGGGAAUCUUCCGCAAUGGACGAAAGUCUGACGGAGCAACGCCGCGUGAGUGAUGAAGGGUUUCGGCUCGUAAAGCUCUGUUGUUAGGGAAGAAACAGUACCGAACGAACUAGGUCGGUACCUUGACGGUACCUAACCAGAAAGCCACGGCUAACUACGUG
rnacentral:rRNA from 1 species